rnacentral:rRNA from 1 species
UACGAAGGGGGCUAGCGUUGUUCGGAAUUACUGGGCGUAAAGGGCGCGUAGGCGGUACUUCAAGUCAGGCGUGAAAGCCCCGGGCUCAACCUGGGAACCGCGCUUGAGACUGGAGAACUAGAGUUCGGGAGAGGAUGGUGGAAUUCCCAGUGUAGAGGUGAAAUCGUAGAUAUUGGGAAGAACACCGAUGGCGAAGGCAGCCAUCUGGACCGACACUGACGCUGAGGCGCGAAAGCGUGGGGAGCAAACAGG